rnacentral:rRNA from 1 species
GACGGGGGGGGCAAGUGUUCUUCGGAAUGACUGGGCGUAAAGGGCACGUAGGCGGUGAAUCGGGUUGAAAGUGAAAGUCGCCAAAAAGUGGCGGAAUGCUCUCGAAACCAAUUCACUUGAGUGAGACAGAGGAGAGUGGAAUUUCGUGUGUAGGGGUGAAAAUCCGUAAAUAUACGAAGGAACGCCAAAGCGAAGGACAGCUCUCUGGGGUCCCCUACCCCGACGCUGGGUGCGAAAAGCAUGGGGAGCGAACAGGG